UCUUUUUCCUUCUUCUUUCUUCUUCUUUUUUUCUCCUUUCUUUUUUCUUCUCCCUCGUUCAGCCUCGACGGCGCUCCCCCCGGCCUGGUGCGACGGUCGACGGCAGCACGCGGUGGAGAUCUCCUCUUCUCCUCCCCUUUUCCUUUUCUUCUUUUUCUUUUUCUUCCUUUGUCUUUCUCUUUUAUUUUUGUUUGUUGCUUGCUUCUUGCUCUAUUUUUUUUUUGCUUCUUGGUUGUUGUUUGCUUUGGUAGGUGCCGACGAUUGGAGUGCUGCGGCGGCGGGCACGGUGGCGCUGGUGCGAUGGCCUGCGGUUGCAGGGACUAGGAAGGGCCUAGGUCGGCCGACGACUAUUACAGGCGCAAGUUACGCUGGUUGCUGCCAGAAGGAUCAAAAUCAGGCCCAAUUAGCCCUAAACCAAAACAGAAAAAUACAAUAAACAGGCCUACAUUUUACACGGCCCAAUAACCCAUUGACAUAGCCCAAACCAAGUUACCCUAAAUCUAACCCAGCACUAAAAACAAACCCUAGUAGCAGCAAGUGAGCACCGCAGCCUCCCCAAGUGACGCACGUCUCGGGGCCGACCUCUCCACGCGCGCCAUUUGCUCCACUCUCGCAUGCAAACACGUACUUAGAGAGUCCAUCUGCAAAAAUAUAGUGUAAAAUAAAAAAGCAACAAACAGUUUUCGGGCUAUAUAAAGCCACUGUUAUUUUGUUAAUGGGGGAGGGAUGGAAAAAAGAAUAUAUAAAGAGAGGUGAUUACCUUUCAGUUGGAUUUUUGAGGGUUUUGUUCUUACAUUUUAUUUUGUUUUAUUUAAUUAUUAUCUUUUAUU